rnacentral:rRNA from 1 species
AACGAACGCUGGCGGCGCGUCUUAAGCAUGCAAGUCGAGCGGCAAGAUCUAGCAAUAGGUCCUAGAGCGGCGGACUGGUGAGUAACGCGUGGGCAACCUGCCUUUGGGCUGGGGAUAGCCGUUAGAAAUAGCGGGUAAUACCGAAUACGCUUGUGUUGCGGAAGUGAUGCAAGGAAAGGGGCUACGGCCCCACCCGAAGGAUGGCCCGCGUCCCAUUAGCUAGUUGGUGAUGUAAUGGAUUACCAAGGCGAAGAUGGGUAGCCGGCCUGAGAGGGCGAACGGCCACACUGGGACUGAGAUACGGCCCAGACUCCUACGGGAGGCAGCAGCUAAGAAUAUUCCGCAAUGGAGGAAACUCUGACGGAGCGACGCCGCGUGGAUGACGAAGGCCGAAAGGUUGUAAAAUCCUUUUGCGGGCGAAGAAGAAGUGGUGGAGGGAAUGCCAUCACGGUGACGCCGGCCCGCGAAUAAGCCCCGGCUAAUUACGUGCCAGCAGCCGCGGUAACACGUAAGGGGCGAGCGUUGUUCGGAAUUAUUGGGCGUAAAGGGCGCGUAGGCGGCGUGCCAAGUCCGGCGUGAAAUACCGGGGCUCAACCCCGGGGCUGCGCUGGAAACUGGCAUGCUUGAAUCCCGGAGGGGAAGCCGGAAUUCCUGGUGUAGGGGUGAAAUCUGUAGAUAUCAGGAAGAACACCGAUGGCGAAGGCAGGCUUCCAGCCGNGGAUUGACGCUGAGGCGCGAAAGCGCGG